rnacentral:lncRNA from 1 species
GCCAUGGCCGCCGCUCUUCUCUCCAUCUCACUCUCCAUCCUUGGCCGGACAGCAGCACCGCCACCGUGCCCUGCCUCCCUCCGCUUUCCGGCGAAGCCGCAGCCUCCGACAACCCAGGUAAACCCUAAGUUCCCCUAUUCUCUUUUUUUUCUUUUCCUCAUCUUUUUCUCUUUUCUAGAUUAAAAAUCUGAAAUCCCUCCUCUCUUCUCUCUUGGCAGAACGGAGACAACGGCACGUUCGCCGCCGCCGCUCCGACGCUGGCAACUUGCCUCCGCGGCAGCCGCCUCCCUGAACCCUUCUCACACACGAAUCAGGGGAUUCAGCCCCUAUUUCAGUCAACACAUAGAAUAGGCUUUUACUGAAUUCAUUUUCAAAUACUGUAAAUGUACUUCAAUAAAGCGUACUGCACUUAAACAUUCAUUCAUGUAAUUUCAACCCUCCAUUUGUAUAUGUAAAUUCUGUUUAUAACAGGCUGC